CCCAGAAGGAAGAGCAGCCUGGUAAACGCAUGCUAACAGGGUCCUUCCAAGGAUGCCCGUCCCUUGCAGAUCUGCUUGCUCAGGCUUGGUGGAAACCGAGGCAAGGGGAUGGGAGCAGGGACAAGCCCAGGCCUUGCUGGUUGUGUGCAUGGAGGCGGGGAGCAGUGAGUCACCCUGAUCAUGCAACAGCCCGGAGUGGUGCCAUUGCUCCAGUCCCUCAAGCAAAACUCUGACCCACCUCAGUGGGAGUUGCAACUAUGCAAAGCUGAGAUAUCUGAUGCCAGGAGCCGUGCCAAGGGCACAGGGUGAGGAGGUCACAGCGGGUGUCAGCCUGCCUCAGCCCGGGAGCAGAGAGGCAGCAACAGCCCAGAGCUCACAUGGCUCCCAAUGUGACUGAGCUCCAGUGUUUUCCAAAGGCUGGCUGCAAGAAGAGAGAAGCCCACAGACCAGGGAAAUGCAAUGGUCUUGAUGCUGCAAGACCCUCGCUGCUCAUUGCGCCAACCAUGCAAGGUCGGGCCCAGACUCCGCUUCACCCCACAGAUUGAGCAGGGCUUGACUUAAAGGCUGUGCAAAGUGUCAGCGAGCAGCACUGCUGCUGCCUGUGCUGCCCCCAGGACAAACAGAUGGUGCAAUCCUGCACUCCCAGCACAGGAGCCAGCUGCACAAUGGGAGCGAUGGAGCAGCUUUUGCCUGAUAUCAAAGCCACUGAGCAGGAGGAAGCAGCGUCCCAGCCCAUCCUUAAUGGUGGAGAACAGAUACAGGAGAGCAGGAAACAAGAAGACAAUGCGCCAUCAAAGCUGCUGCAAGGUGUUGGAUCAAUGACAACAUCUGCAUGAGGGUCUGGGCUACAAUAGAAGCUGUUACCAUGGGAACGGGUGCAAAAGCAUCAGGCGGGAAGGAGCAGGCAAUGAUGAAAGGUGGGAAAGUGGGAGAGGGUAUUUUUAGAUCGCUUAGGAGGAAUGCCACACAAUGACAUCAUCCUAUCUCAUUAUUUGCACCCAUGCUGUAUAACGCAUUGUGGCGUCUGCCCCAGGCUGUUAAAUGGGAAAACAUUAUUAUGGAUGUGAAUUACAAAUACUGCGGUGAAACUUGAGCUUAGGAGUUAUUAGGCAUCACUAUUCUGUAAUAAAGGAGAGCAUUUAAUACACUGUGCUCUACAGAUCCACUGUAUAGCACAAGAAGCAUUGUGUCUAGGAUUUUAAUAUUCUCAGAAGGUAAUUAUGAGUCAUCCUUUUAUUGUUAUGAAGAAGCAGAGUGCAAAUAAUUUUAUACAUUUGAUAUCCCACAGAUCAACAAGCCUUUUGCACUGGAGAAACAUGGCCUAAUUUUCCAGAGCGCUGCAUGCCAACAUGCUCUGAGAGAAUGUGGUAGUAGUGGUAGGGGCCCAGCACUGCCAAAAACCCAGCCAUCUGUGUCACAUGUGAAAGAAGCCUCAUUAAUCUCGGAAAUACAAAGUGUACGUUUCACUGCCUCUGUUCAGCUCUUUAGGUAGGGCCAGACCCUUUUUACAGUUAAGAACUCUGCAGAUACCCAUGGCAUCUGCUAAAUGCCCCCUGAUUUGGGGGGCCAGGGAGGGAAAAUUCUGACUGUCAGGCACUGUUCCUGACUGACAGAGGGGAAAGCCUCCAGCCUGGAGAGGUGAAACAAGCCAGGUCUCGUCUGCCUUGCACUGGAUUGCGGGUGCCCAGAGCCUGCUGCACUGGAGAGGCUGGAAUCGCUAUUCCUGUCACGCUGCCGGUGGUGAAGUUGGAAGGAUAAACCCAGAGGAAUGUGUUUCUUGUGACUGCAAAACUCUGAGCCUGCUCUCUGCCCUGAAAUAACCAUCGGUAAAUGCUGUGUUCAGCCAGUGCGUGUCCUCAGCCACUGGGGCCUGUCACUGGAGAUGGGCAAGGACUGAAAUUCCCAACCCAUGCUGAUACCCACCAGUACUGCCAAAAUACCACCAGGUGAGUGACAGGGCUUGCCCUAGCUCUUGCCCUGUGCAGAACAGAGCACGUGGGUCCUCAGCCAUUUGUUUUUGCACUUUGGACUAACCCCUGCGUCAGCAGGCGAGGACUGGAGGAGGAUAACCGGAGCGGUGCCAGGGCAGCAGGCACAGGGCAGCAGCAGAGCACAGGCUGGCUGCGAGGAGGGAGCUAGGCUGAUGUCAUGCCAUAGCACUUCUCCUUGUGAGAUAAAUAUACCCUCCCGUGCCUGCCCACCCUUCCCUGCUCCGCGACGCUCUGCCACCCUUCCCAAGGACUGGGAGCGGGUGGGUUGGGGUGAGCAGCCCCACCCCCAGCCUCCCGGGACCUGCCGCAAAAGGCGCUGGUGCACAACCCAGCCAACUGGGGAAACAGAGCAAGAAAUAGCCCAGAGACAAUGGCGAAUGAGCAGAAACACAAGCCGUCCGGGGAGUUACCACCUGGCUGUAGGCAGAGGGUGCUUAAAGCAAGGACAGCAGGUAGCGAAGCCGUAUGUUCAUUUUUUUUCACUGUGCAAUCAUGAUGUGCAACUCUUCUUUCUGCUUAAGCUCCCCUUCCUCACAGAAGAUCUGACUCUUUAAAUAUAUAAUAAAGAGUAAAACAUG